rnacentral:rRNA from 1 species
GGCGGAUGAGUUGUGGCUAGGGGUGAAAUUCCAAACGAACCCGGAGAUAGCUGGUUCUCCCCGAAAUAGCUUUAGGGCUAGCGUCGCAGGAAGUGCCAUGAAGGUAGAGCACUGAAUAUGUGAUGGCCUCAUCCCGAGGUACUGAGCAUAAUCAAACUCCGAAUGUCAUGGAGACGAUGAGCGGCAGUCAGACCAUGGGUGAUAAGGUCCAUGGUCAAGAGGGAAACAGCCCAGACCAUCAGCUAAGGUCCCCAAAUACAUGCUAAGUGGAAAAGGAUGUGGAGAUGUACAGACAACCAGGAGGUUGGCUCAGAAGCAGCCAUCCUUCAAAGAGUGCGUAACAGCUCACUGGUCGAAUGACUCUGCGCCGAAAAUUUACCGGGGCUAAGCAUAAUACCGAAGCUAUGGAUUUAUACGACAAGUAUAAGUGGUAGGGGAGCGUUCCUGUCAGCGAGGAAGCAUGACCGCAAGGACAUGUGGAGCGGCAGGAAGAGAGAAUGCCGGUGUGAGUAGCGGAACGUGGGUGAGAAUCCCACGCACCGAAAACCCAAGGUUUCCAGAGGAAGGUUCGUCCGCUCUGGGUAAGUCGGGACCUAAGGCGAGGCCGAGAGGCGUAGUCGAUGGACAACAGGUAGAGAUUCCUGUACUUACGGUAUGAAUGAAGGAGUGACGGAGAAGGCUAGGUGAUCCUGCGGCUGGAAGAGCAGGUGCAAGCGAGGUAGCAGAUAUCCAGGCAAAUCCGGAUAUCGGGAAAGCGAAGGCGUGAAGCGGAUGGAAAGCCAAGGCAAGUACAGAAGUCAUUGAAGCCAGCUUCCAAGAAAAGCUUCUAGUGAUAAUCAUACAGUAACCCGUACCGAAAAUGGACACACAUGGGUGAGGAGAGAAUCCUAAGGUGAGCGAGAGAACUAUAGCUAAGGAACUCUGCAAAAUGACUCCGUAACUUAGGGAGAAGGAGUGCUCAUAGAGAUAUGAGCCGCAGUGAAACGGCCCAAGCGACUGUUUACCAAAAACACAGCUCUAUGCUAAGUCGAAAGACGACGUAUAUGGGGUGACGCCUGCCCGGUGCUGGAAGGUUAAGAGGAUGUGUCAGCGCAAGCGAAGCAUUGAAUUGAAGCCCCAGUAAACGGCGGCCGUAACUAUAACGGUCCUAAGGUAGCGAAAUUCCUUGUCAGGUAAGUUCUGACCCGCACGAAAGGCGUAACGAUUUGGGCGCUGUCUCAGCUGUAGACUCGGUGAAGUCUUAGUACCUGUGAAGAUGCAGGUUACCCGCGACUAGACGGAAAGACCCCAUGGAGCUUUACUGUAGCUUGAUAUUGGACUUUGAUGCAGGAUGUACAGGAUAGGUAGGAGACUGAGAGACAUGCACGCCAGUGUGUGAGGAGUCAAUGUUGGGAUACUACUCUUCUUGUAUUGGAGUUCUAACCGGAUGCCAUGGAACUGGCAACGGGACAGUGUCAGGUGGGCAGUUUGACUGGGGCGGUCGCCUCCCAAAGAGUAACGGAGGCGCCCAAAGAUACCCUCAGCUUGGAUGGAAAUCAAGCGCAGAGUGCAAAGGCAAAAGGGUGUUUGACUGCGAGACCAACAAGUCGAGCAGGGACGAAAGUCGGGCUUAGUGAUCCGGCGGUGCUGAGUGGAAAGGCCGUCGCUCAACGGAUAAAAGCUACCCUGGGGAUAACAGGCUGAUCUCCCCCAAGAGUCCACAUCGACGGGGAGGUUUGGCACCUCGAUGUCGGCUCAUCGCAUCCUGGAGCUGAAGUCGGUUCCAAGGGUUGGGCUGUUCGCCCAUUAAAGCGGUACGCGAGCUGGGUUCAGAACGUCGUGAGACAGUUCGGUCCCUAUCUGUUGUGGGCGUUGGAGAUCUGAGGAGAGCUGUCCUUAGUACGAGAGGACCGGGAUGGACCUACCGCUGGUGCACCAGUUGUUCCGCCAGGAGCAUAGCUGGGUAGCUAAGUAGGGAAGGGAUAAGCGCUGAAAGCAUCUAAGCGCGAAGCCUACUCCAAGAUGAGAUCUCCCAUUCGUAUAACGAAGUAAGACCCCUUGAAGACGACGAGGUGGAUAGGUCAGAGAUGGAAGUGUAGCGAUACAUGGAGUUGACUGAUACUAAUAGGUCGAGGACUUAAUCAC